UACGAAGGGGGCGAGCGUUGUUCGGAUUUACUGGGCGUAAAGGGCGCGCAGGCGGCUUUGUUUGUCAGGCGUGAAAGCCCCGGGCUUAACCUGGGAACUGCGUUUGAUACGGCAGGGCUAGAGUUCGGGAGAGGAGAGUGGAAUUCCCAGUGUAGAGGUGAAAUUCGUAGAUAUUGGGAAGAACACCGGUGGCGAAGGCGGCUCUCUGGUACGUGACUGACGCUGAGACGCGAAAGCGUGGGGAGCGAACAGG
rnacentral:rRNA from 1 species